GCAUCGGUGGUUUAGUGGUAAAAUUAGCCGUUGCCAGUCCAUCAACUGGAUCCGUAUCGGCUAGCCCCGGGUUCGAUUCCCGGCCGAUGCA